rnacentral:rRNA from 1 species
GACGAACGCUGGCGGCGUGCUUAACACAUGCAAGUCGAGCGGAAAGGCCACUUCGGUGGUACUCGAGCGGCGAGCGGGUGAGUAACACGUGAGUAAUCUGCCCCUGGCUUUGGGAUAGCCACCGGAAACGGUGAUUAAUACCGGAUAUGACCACUUCACGCAUGUGUUGUGGUGGAAAGUUUUUCGGCCAGGGAUGUGCUCGCGGCCUAUCAGCUUGAUGGUGAGGUAAUGGCUCACCAUGGCUUCGACGGGUAGCCGGCCUGAGAGGGUGACCGGUCACACUGGGACUGAGACACGGCCCAGACUCCUACGGGAGGCAGCAGUGGGGAAUAUUGGACAAUGGGCGGAAGCCUGAUCCAGCAACGCCGCGUGAGGGAUGACGGCCUUCGGGUUGUAAACCUCUUUCAGUACCGACGAAGCGCAAGUGACGGUAGGUACAGAAUAAGCACCGGCUAACUCUGUGCCAGCCGCCGCAGUAACAC